AGAGUUUGAUCCUGGCUCAGGAUGAACGCUAGCGGCAGGCCUAACACAUGCAAGUCGAACGGUAAGGACCACUUCGGUGGUUACACGAGUGGCGCACGGGUGAGUAACGCGUAUGCAACCCACCCUUAACAGGGGGAUAGCCCGAAGAAAUUCGGAUUAAUACCCCAUAAUACUAUAGAUAAGCAUUUAUUUAUAGUAAAAACUCCGGUGGUUAAGGAUGGGCAUGCGUACCAUUAGAUAGUUGGUAAGGUAACGGCUUACCAAGUCUACGAUGGUUAGGGGGCCUGAGAGGGUGGUCCCCCACACUGGUACUGAGACACGGACCAGACUCCUACGGGAGGCAGCAGUGAGGAAUAUUGCGCAAUGGACGAAAGUCUGACGCAGCCAUGCCGCGUGCAGGAUGACGGCCCUACGGGUUGUAAACUGCUUUUAUACAGGAAGAAAACUUUCAACGUGUUGAGAGUUGACGGUACUGUAGGAAUAAGCAUCAGCUAACUCCGUGCCAGCAGCCGCGGUAAUACGGAGGAUGCAAGCGUUAUCCGGAUUUAUUGGGUUUAAAGGGUGCGUAGGCGGAAUAAUAAGUCAGUGGUGAAAUCCUGCAGCUCAACUGUAGAACUGCCAUUGACACUGUUAUUCUUGAAUAUAGUUGAGGUAGGCGGAAUGUGUAAUGUAGCGGUGAAAUGCAUAGAUAUUACACAGAACACCGAUUGCGUAGGCAGCUUACUAAGCUAUUAUUGACGCUGAGGCACGAAAGCGUGGGGAUCGAACAGGAUUAGAUACCCUGGUAGUCCACGCUGUAAACGAUGAUCACUAGCUGUUGGCGAUACACCGAUCAGCGGCAAAGCGAAAGCAUUAAGUGAUCCACCUGGGGAGUACGGUCGCAAGAUUGAAACUCAAAGGAAUUGACGGGGGCCCGCACAAGCGGAGGAACAUGUGGUUUAAUUCGAUGAUACGCGAGGAACCUUACCUGGGCUUAAAUGCAGGACGACGGACUGGGAAACCAGUUUUCUCUUCGGAGCGGACUGCAAGGUGCUGCAUGGUUGUCGUCAGCUCGUGCCGUGAGAUGUUGGGUUAAGUCCCGCAACGAGCGCAACCCCUAUCGUUAGUUGCCAGCGGAUCAUGCCGGGGACUCUAACGAAACUGCCGGUGUAAACCGAGAGGAAGGUGGGGAUGACGUCAAAUCAGCACGGCCCUUAUGUCCAGGGCUACACACGUGUUACAAUGGUCGGUACAGAGGGUAGC
rnacentral:rRNA from 1 species